AUUGAACGCUGGCGGCAUGCCUUACACAUGCAAGUCGAACGGUAACAGGUCUUCGGAUGCUGACGAGUGGCGAACGGGUGAGUAAUACAUCGGAACGUGCCUAGUAGUGGGGGAUAACUACUCGAAAGAGUGGCUAAUACCGCAUGAGAUCUAUGGAUGAAAGCAGGGGAUCGCAAGACCUUGUGCUACUAGAGCGGCCGAUGGCAGAUUAGGUAGUCGGUGGGAUAAAAGCUUACCAAGCCGACGAUCUGUAGCUGGUCUGAGAGGACGAUCAGCCACACUGGGACUGAGACACGGCCCAGACUCCUACGGGAGGCAGCAGUGGGGAAUUUUGGACAAUGGGCGCAAGCCUGAUCCAGCAAUGCCGCGUGCAGGAUGAAGGCCUUCGGGUUGUAAACUGCUUUUGUACGGAACGAAAAGCCCUGGGUUAAUACCCUGGGGUCAUGACGGUACCGUAAGAAUAAGCACCGGCUAACUACGUGCCAGCCGCCGCAGUAAAAC
rnacentral:rRNA from 1 species